rnacentral:rRNA from 1 species
GAUGAACGCUGGCGGCGUGCCUAACACAUGCAAGUCGAACGGACUCUUAUUCGAUUUUAACUAAUCGAAAGCUGACAUAGUGUUUCUCGGCGCAGCUAAUCCGCAGCCCGAAUGUAAUUCGAGCGAGGACAAGCAAGCGAGGAACAGUAUGUCAGCUAUAAAACAGAGUUAGUGGCGGACGGGUGAGUAACACGUUAGUACCUACCCUCUAGUGGGGGAGUAACUGCCCGAAACGGGUAGCUAAUACCGCAUGUGAUCACUUGUGAUCAAAGCAGCAAUGCGCUAGAGGGAGGGGCUUGCGUCUGAUUAGUCUUGUUGGGCGGGGUAAUAGCCCACCAAGGCGACGAUCAGUAGUUGGUUCGAGAGGAUGACCAGCCAC